rnacentral:lncRNA from 1 species
AAACAUCUCUGAGGACACCCUUGUAAUUUUGAAAGAAUUGAGGGGUAAAAUGAGUCAUUUCACCACCUCUUCCCCAAAUUGUUGGUAAGAGAGCCACCAUGGAAGAACAGCGAUGGACCUUAUAACAGUGUCAACAAAACCAAUUGCUCUCCUUACAAUCACCUUAGGUAGCACCAUUUUCUUCAUACUUAUCCUCCGGCCGCAUACAUUUUCUCCAAAGCCAGACUCCAUGGCUCGAAGCUUUGUUUGUGGCUUCAUGGGUUGGGUGACUCNNNNNNNNNNNNNNNNNNNNNNNNNNNNNNNNNNNNNNNNNNNNNNNNNNNNNNNNNNNNNNNNNNNNNNNNNNNNNNNNNNNNNNNNNNNNNNNNNNNNAAAUCUGAUCAGAGGGCCCGCGGAAGCAAAAGAACCCCAAAGAGGCACGUGCAGGGCUCGGAUUGCACAAACAGGUAGGAAGGGUGGCUGGUCGGCGUCAGGCGAGCCUGGAGGAGGAAGCGCGUCGCCGGAAAGUGGCUCACGCGCCCUCACGCGCCGGCGCGUGAGAUGCAGUCGCCGGCCGGAAAAACGCGCGUGGGCGGCGCGUGGAUGGGUUUCUGGUUCCGGUGCUUUGGGACAAAUUGGAGAUCUCCUCCAGGCGCUCCUUGCGGUGUAGAAAAAAACCGUCGCCGGAAAGUUCGCCGGAAAAGUUGCCGGCGGUGAGUGUUUUCUGACGACUAUUCGACUGACUGGAAAGUGUUUUCUCCCUUGGCUCUGAGAACAGGGACUGAUGGCCGGAAUGAGAGAGAGAGAGAGAGAGAUGAUCGGAUUGAGAUAUGGCCAGAAAGAUUUGGCCGGAAUGAGUGAUGGCCUGAAUAAGAGGUGGCCAGAAGGGAUUAGGGUUUCAGAAAACUGGCUCUGAUACCAUGAAGAAUUUCUGAACUCCUUUAUUGAUAAUGAAUCGGUACACACCAUACACAUAUAUAUACACAAAUGACUGAAUAAGAAACAAUCAAUCUAGCUUAAUUCUCUCCUAAAAUUAGGAAACUAAAUCAUAAGGAAAUAUCCUAAAUGAUCUCUCCUUUUUUUUAUUCCUAAAUUAAAGUCCUAACUUUGGCAUUAUUUCAACAGAGAUUUUAGAAUUGUAGGAUGAAACUUUUAUUUUGAUUCCAGACAGAAGCUAUGCCCAACAUUCAUAUUGACUUCUUCAAUCGAAAUAGCUGGAUUGAUUUGCUUGCAUCUGAAAGGCUGAUUGCGUGGACCUGUGAUAGAUACUGUAUUGCUUUGAUUUCAUCAUCCUAUACAUUUAGAUGCGUUUUAAAGUUGUGAGAGUCAAUAUCGUAUCAAACUCAUCUCAUAUGUUUUUCCCUAAUUCAGUCCAAGGCUCUUUCAUUGAGCCACAACUUCUUGGUGCAUUUGAGAUGCUUUAGGCAAGGUCUAAAUUCAACUAUUUGGAUGCUGAUAUUGGUACUUUUCAAGCAGAUUUUUUAUAGAAUCUCCCCAUAUUUUCAAUUUCUUUAAUGGGUCAUUUUCAAACAAGGAGUAUGAUAGCUUGAGAGCUAGGGUGACUUCUUAUACAAUAUUUGUUCACUUAUGAUAAGAUUAGAGAUAUGAUUUUAAGAAGGUUUAAGUGUGUUUUUCUUAUAAAAGAUUGAUAUUUAGCAAAGUUUCAAAAAUUUAGAGAAUUAUUUAAAGUGAUUUUUGGAUUAGUAGUGUGCGUGCGGGUUUUUUUUUUUUAAUUUUAAAUCAUCUUCAAAUUUCAAUAUCAUUUAUUUAUGUUUUGCUUUUAAAAAAAAAAUUGAAAAUGAAUUUUUAAUUAUUUAUUUAAGUCUUUUUUCAAUAUCAAAAUUGUUCUUAUUUCUAAUAAAAAAAAUUUAAGUAACGAAAGUGAUUACUUCUAUUUCUUAAACAUUGAUUUGAUGUUGGGCUGAGCUCUAUGAGUUGGGCCAACUCACAAGUCAGCGCAACAAACAUCUCUGAGGACACCCUUGUAAUUUUGAAAGAAUUGAGGGGUAAAAUGAGUCAUUUCACCACCUCUUCCCCAAAUUGUUGGUAAGAGAGCCACCAUGGAAGAACAGCGAUGGACCUUAUAACAGUGUCAACAAAACCAAUUGCUCUCCUUACAAUCACCUUAGGUAGCACCAUUUUCUUCAUACUUAUCCUCCGGCCGCAUACAUUUUCUCCAAAGCCAGACUCCAUGGCUCGAAGCUUUGUUUUGUGGCUUCAUGGGUUGGGUGACUCAGGCCCUGCCAAUGAACCCAUCAAGACCCUCUUCACUUCUCCUGAGUUCAGAAACACCAUAUGGAAAUUCCCUUCUGCUCCUUCAA